UGGUCUGAUUUUAAGUCAGACCCGUACAAUCCUAUAACCAGCCGUAUUUUCAAGUCAGACCUGGUCUGGCUGGUGUUUUCCGGACCUAGUCUGGAAAAAGCAGUGCUCAAAGUUUGCAAGCUCGUAAUGCAAAAGCUGCAGAACUAGGGUCUGGAAUUGGUCAGACACCCACCGGCUCCUGACGCCGUGAGACAGCGGCGUGCUCAAGUGGCUGCGCAGUGUUCUGUUAGAACAUGCAGAAGUGAGAAUGAGUCAGAGAGCCAGAAGCCAACCAGAAAAAUGAGAGCCGUGAGUGUCCAGACUUCUGUGCCAACACUUCCAGAAGGCACUUGAAUGUGAACUAUCAGCUUGAAAAUAUCACAUGGGAAUAACUACUACAACAGAGGAGUCACUUAUCUUUCAG